rnacentral:rRNA from 1 species
UACAGAGGUCUCAAGCGUUGUUCGGAUUCAUUGGGCGUAAAGGGUGCGUAGGCGGCGCGGUAAGUCGGGUGUGAAAUCUCGGAGCUUAACUCCGAAACUGCAUUCGAUACUGCCGUGCUUGAGGACUGGAGAGGAGACUGGAAUUUACGGUGUAGCGGUGAAAUGCGUAGAUAUCGUAAGGAAGACCAGUGGCGAAGGCGGGUCUCUGGACAGUUCCUGACGCUGAGGCACGGAAGGCCCAGGGGAGCAAACGGG